rnacentral:rRNA from 1 species
CAGGUUUACCUGUGUGACUGCGUACCUUUUGUAUAAUGGGUCAGCGACUUAUAUUCUGUAGCAAGGUUAACCGAAUAGGGGAGCCGGAGGGAAACCGAGUCUUAAUUGGGCGUUAAGUUGCAGGGUAUAGACCCGAAACCCGGUGAUCUAGCCAUGGGCAGGUUGAAGGUUGGGUAACACUAACUGGAGGACCGAACCGACUAAUGUUGAAAAAUUAGCGGAUGACCUGUGGCUGGGGGUGAAAGGCCAAUCAAACCGGGAGAUAGCUGGUUCUCCCCGAAAGCUAUUUAGGUAGCGCCUCGUGAAUUCAUCUCCGGGGGUAGAGCACUGUUUCGGCUAGGGGGCCAUCCCGGCUUACCAACCCGAUGCAAACUGCGAAUACCGGAGAAUGUUAUCACGGGAGACACACGGCGGGUGCUAACGUCCGUCGUGAAGAGGGAAACAACCCAGACCGCCAGCUAAGGUCCCAAAGUCAUGGUUAAGUGGGAAACGAUGUGGGAAGGCCCAGACAGCCAGGAUGUUGGCUUAGAAGCAGCCAUCAUUUAAAGAAAGCGUAAUAGCUCACUGGUCGAGUCGGCCUGCGCGGAAGAUGUAACGGGGCUAAACCAUGCACCGAAGCUGCGGCAGCGACGCUUAUGCGUUGUUGGGUAGGGGAGCGUUCUGUAAGCCUGCGAAGGUGGCCUGUGAGGGUUGCUGGAGGUAUCAGAAGUGCGAAUGCUGACAUAAGUAACGAUAAAGCGGGUGAAAAGCCCGCUCGCCGGAAGACCAAGGGUUCCUGUCCAACGUUAAUCGGGGCAGGGUGAGUCGACCCCUAAGGCGAGGCCGAAAGGCGUAGUCGAUGGGAAACGGGUUAAUAUUCCCGUACUUGGUGUUACUGCGAAGGGGGGACGGAGAAGGCUAUGUUGGCCGGGCGACGGUUGUCCCGGUUUAAGCGUGUAGGCUGGUUUUCCAGGCAAAUCCGGAAAAUCAAGGCUGAGGCGUGAUGACGAGGCACUACGGUGCUGAAGCAACAAAUGCCCUGCUUCCAGGAAAAGCCUCUAAGCAUCAGGUAACAUCAAAUCGUACCCCAAACCGACACAGGUGGUCAGGUAGAGAAUACCAAGGCGCUUGAGAGAACUCGGGUGAAGGAACUAGGCAAAAUGGUGCCGUAACUUCGGGAGAAGGCACGCUGACACGUAGGUGAAGUGAUUUACUCACGGAGCUGAAGUCAGUCGAAGAUACCAGCUGGCUGCAACUGUUUAUUAAAAACACAGCACUGUGCAAACACGAAAGUGGACGUAUACGGUGUGACGCCUGCCCGGUGCCGGAAGGUUAAUUGAUGGGGUCAGCGCAAGCGAAGCUCCUGAUCGAAGCCCCGGUAAACGGCGGCCGUAACUAUAACGGUCCUAAGGUAGCGAAAUUCCUUGUCGGGUAAGUUCCGACCUGCACGAAUGGCGUAAUGAUGGCCAGGCUGUCUCCACCCGAGACUCAGUGAAAUUGAACUCGCUGUGAAGAUGCAGUGUACCCGCGGCAAGACGGAAAGACCCCGUGAACCUUUACUAUAGCUUGACACUGAACAUUGAGCCUUGAUGUGUAGGAUAGGUGGGAGGCUUUGAAGUGUGGACGCCAGUCUGCAUGGAGCCGACCUUGAAAUACCACCCUUUAAUGUUUGAUGUUCUAACGUGGACCCGUUACCCGGGUUGCGGACAGUGUCUGGUGGGUAGUUUGACUGGGGCGGUCUCCUCCUAAAGAGUAACGGAGGAGCACGAAGGUUGGCUAAUCCUGGUCGGACAUCAGGAGGUUAGUGCAAUGGCAUAAGCCAGCUUGACUGCGAGCGUGACGGCGCGAGCAGGUGCGAAAGCAGGUCAUAGUGAUCCGGUGGUUCUGAAUGGAAGGGCCAUCGCUCAACGGAUAAAAGGUACUCCGGGGAUAACAGGCUGAUACCGCCCAAGAGUUCAUAUCGACGGCGGUGUUUGGCACCUCGAUGUCGGCUCAUCACAUCCUGGGGCUGAAGUAGGUCCCAAGGGUAUGGCUGUUCGCCAUUUAAAGUGGUACGCGAGCUGGGUUUAGAACGUCGUGAGACAGUUCGGUCCCUAUCUGCCGUGGGCGCUGGAGAACUGAGGGGGGCUGCUCCUAGUACGAGAGGACCGGAGUGGACGCAUCACUGGUGUUCGGGUUGUCAUGCCAAUGGCACUGCCCGGUAGCUAAAUGCGGAAGAGAUAAGUGCUGAAAGCAUCUAAGCACGAAACUUGCCCCGAG